rnacentral:lncRNA from 1 species
CUACCGUGAGAUGUGCUGCAAAUGAAGAAUUCACAUUUGCCAAAAAGAAAUUAUUCUUAGGUAUUUGAAGAGCAAGAUAAGCCCAAUGAAGACAACUCCAAGAAUGGAAUAUGCUGCACUCAAGGACUUCAUUCUUCUGACAGAUAGUGUUCCCAUCUCAGAAACCCACAUCAUCAGUUGGCCAAGGAGGUUCCAGUACAGAUCACGUUCCCCCUCAUUGAACAGUGCUCUUGGCCUCUUCCUCAUGGAAAUGUCCUCUCCUUUUGCAACUACAACAAUCAUGGAGAAUUAAAUUCAGAACUAAAAUCAAGUAUUUUCUCACAGUUUUUAAAAUGAAAGAUGAGCAUUUUUAUACUGAUUUUAAUUACAGCUGCAGCCUCAGCAGCCCCACUCUCUGCUUCCCUCAG